GACGAACGCUGGCGGCGCGCUUAACACAUGCAAGUCGAACGGAAAGGCCUGCUUUCCCUUGUGGAUUGCGGGUACUCGAGUGGCGAACGGGUGAGUAACACGUGAGUGAUCUGCCCCCAACUUGGGUAUAAGCCUGGGAAACUGGGUCUAAUUCCCGAUAGGACUGCAGGGUGGUGCCUGUGGUGGAAAACGAUUUUCUAGUGGUUGGGGAUGAGCUCGCGGCCUAUCAGCUUGUUGGUGGGGUAAUGGCCUACCAAGGCGGCGACGGGUAGCCGGCCUGGGAGAGUGGACGGGCACAUUGGGACUGAGAUACGGCCCAGACUCCUACGGGAGGCAGCAGUGGGGAAGAUUGCGCAAUGGGCGGAAGCCUGAUGCAGCGACGCCGCGUGGGGGAUGACGGCCUUCGGGUUGUAAACUCCUUUCGACCGCGAGGAAGCCACCUGGUUGGAAGGGUGGUGACGGUAGUGGUAGAAGAAGCACCGGCUAACUACGUG
rnacentral:rRNA from 1 species